rnacentral:rRNA from 1 species
UGGGGAAUAUUGCACAAUGGGCGCAAGCCUGAUGCAGCCAUGCCGCGUGUAUGAAGAAGGCCUUCGGGUUGUAAAGUACUUUCAGUCGGGAGGAAGGUGUCAAGGUUAAUAACCUUGGCAAUUGAUGUUACCGACAGAAGAAGCACCGGCUAACUCCGUGCCAGCAGCCGCGGUAAUACGGAGGGUGCAAGCGUUAAUCGGAAUUACUGGGCGUAAAGCGCACGAAGGCGGUUGAUUGAGUCAGAUGUGAAAUCCCCGGGCUUAACCCUGGAAUUGCAUCUGAUACUGGUCAGCUAGAGUCUUGUAGAGGGGGGUAGAAUUCCAUGUGUAGCGGUGAAAUGCGUAGAGAUCUGGAGGAAUACCGGUGGCGAAGGCGGCCCCCUGGACAAAGACUGACGCUCAGGUGCGAAAGCGUGGGGAGCAAACAGG